UACGAAGGGUGCAAGCGUUACUCGGAAUUACUGGGCGUAAAGCGUGCGUAGGUGGUUCGUUAAGUCUGAUGUGAAAGCCCUGGGCUCAACCUGGGAAUUGCAUUGGAUACUGGCGGGCUAGAGUACGGUAGAGGGUGGCGGAAUUCCUGGUGUAGCAGUGAAAUGCGUAGAUAUCAGGAGGAACAUCCGUGGCGAAGGCGGCCACCUGGACCAGUACUGACACUGAGGAGCGAAAGCGUGGGGAGCGAACAGG
rnacentral:rRNA from 1 species